UAUCAAGUGAAUUGUAUGCCAAGUCCAUACUCUACCAAGUCAGUCAUGUGCUGUUGCAGUUUACCGGUUCCAUUGGCAUAAAUAUCAAUUUGGAACUUUUACAUGGCUAGUUUACCAAUUAUUCUUCACCUAGGGAAUUGAACAAUUCUGCAAAAUUCCUGUGCAGGAAUUUAAGUUGCUGGGAAGUGGAAAUUAUAUCCAGUUUUUGUAGUAUAGGGAAGUUGGAUGAUAAAUCAGGUGUAUUACAUUGGUAUUGAAUUUCUAACAUCCAUGAAGUGCCAACAAAUUAACAAGAAUCCUGGUUAACUAAUUAACAAAAAUGCGUACGGGCUGUUAAAGGCUGAUAUCCAUCUUCAAAAAUCGUUACAAGAUUUGCUUUGCCACUCAUCAUCUUCAGACACAAACUUUGUAAGAAGCUUCCACUCAUCAUCUUCAGACACAAACUUUGUAAGAAGCUUCAGCAUCUGCUUCCUCCAACUUCGUUAUGAUCUCCUCAUGAAGGGCGUGUUUGUUCCACAGAGUAACUCAAAUCUUCCCACUGCUUUGCCCACUGAUAUGAUAGCAUCCUUUGUGUCCUCUAGAUGUCCCUCUGCUUCAUUUACCUUGUAGAUAGUCAAGCCUCAUUAUCACAUGAACUUGUCUUCAAUUAGCAUCUUCAGUUCCUCCAGUUUUUUGAUAAUUUUUGGAUUCAUCAGAUCCCUAGCCUCUCUUAUAAGAGUACCUUCCUGACUGGAAUGGUAAGCAUCCACCACAGCCUUAAUCCAAGUGUGUAGCUUUUCUGGGGUCGUGUACAGGGAGUCAAUAUCCUUUCCUUCAAGUUCUUCUCCCGGGGUAAAUGCAUCUCUCAAUGCACAUAAUCGCUCCUCAGGAUCCUCAAUUUUAAGAAGAUACUUCAGUAUUCUAAUGUCCUUAGGCAUGAGCCUCUGAAGAUUACCUACUGCUGUCAUGUAGAGAUGAUAAAGAAUGUCUUUUACCUCAUCUUUUGUCAUGUUGGACUCUUUAGCAGCUGACCAUGCUUUUGUGAUCAUCAAAACCAGUGAAGAAUCAAGUUGAUUUUUUGCAGCCAAAUCAUCUAUCUUCCUGCAAGCAGCAUCCAGAGAAGGAGAAUUGACAAUGUCUUGCAAUUUCAACUCUGCAGCAUUAAGUGCUUCAAUGCUUUCUGUUGCAUUAUCAUAGGCUUGUACAGCAGCAACACAAUCAUUUCCUAGCUUUGCCAAGGCAUUUUGCUCAGUCGGGUUGUCAUGAUAUGAUUGUGCAACAGUGAACAGAUGUAUAAAAAAUUCUUUUGUGAAAUCUUUGCGACGCCUAGUAACAACUUCACUAAUCUUUGAUGGUUCCUUCUUGAUCACUUCAAUAAGUUCAUUAUGCCUUUGCACAUCUUCAUCGAUCUCUUUCAGCUUCCUUGCAAGCCUGAGUAGCUUAUGCUUCAUCCCAGGAUCACGCUCACUGUCUGCUCGUUCCAGACAUCGCUUAUAGAAAUGAGGCCUAAUAUUGUCCCAUUCUUUGCUAAAAGCAAGCAACCUUCUCCAAUCAGUAGGUGUGGGCUUAUCAACCAUGAAAACCCCGAUUAACUUGUCACAUACUCGGACCAUUUUAGCCUCAUCCACACCAUCUUUUUCAUUUCUUGCAGGAUCAUCAUUUACCACCGUGGGUUCAGAAGAAUCAGAAAACGUCAAUUCCUCCCCUUUCCUAUCACUAGAAACAUCAGUUGCACCGCCUAUAACAGCGGCCAGAGAAGUUUUCCGCUGCCUGGGCCCAACAGCUGGAAGCAGGCAACCUUUGAAAUUAGAAGAGAAAUUAAGAUUUGGAGACGAACAUCUAAAGGAGAAGAGAGAAGGAGAUUGAGCUCGAAAGGCAGUUGAGGAAGAAGCUGUUACUGGCAAAAAGCAAGAAAUCUGGACAGUCGAAGAAGCUAAUUCCAUUGAAAUUUAUCGCUUCCGUUGUUAGGCUUCGGAAUUUAAACCCACACAGAAAG
rnacentral:misc_RNA from 1 species